AGAGUUGUAGCUCAGUAAUAGGGCAUCAGCUUUCCAUGCAGAAGGUUCCUGGUUCAGUCCCCAGCAUCUUUA